CCCGUCCAUUUCCAUUUCCCUGCGCCCGGGGGAGGGCACCGCUCUGGACAGAGGCCGGGGAGCUGCGGGUCUGAGCACCGGUGGGAACAGCCGUCCCGUUGGCCAUCUGUGGGGUUGUCGAAGCCGGGAGGGAGAAAAACUCGAAAAUCACGUGGAACAAACUCUGAACACGCAUAGAGAUGUGUAUGCUGGCGAGUGCAGUCUCAUCUACCAUAGCUCUUGUGAAUCCUACGCAUGCUGACGCAGCUACCCACCUGAACUACUACAGUUAUAUUUUUUUCAACGGCCGAUAAUUCAAUGUUUUUUCCUCGGUUUUUUUGGCCUGUCCUCACCCAGAAGAGAAUAAAAAGCAGAGAAUAAAAAGCAGUGAAUGUGUGAGGCGCCGUAUUACAGGUCCAGCGGUGCUCACUCUCGGCCCUGCCUUGCUGUCGCGGUCCUGUGAUCAGGGUGUUGGAAGCAUGUUGCUGCUCCUUGACCAGUCCGGUGAAGAGCACCCUGUCACGGACGUCCAAAGGGACUAACCGUGGGGAGCAGGAGAGCGGAAAAAGACCCAUAUGCGUAGCGG